rnacentral:rRNA from 1 species
CAAAAGGGAUUGUGAUGUCCUAUCCUUACUAUCAUGCUGUUUCUCAUUUUACACAUGCAAGUCUCAGCACCCCAGUGAGAACGCCCUUUUAACCUACACCAGGAGAAGGAGCUGGCAUCAGGCACAAUCCCUGCCCAUAACACCUAGUCUCACCACACCCCCAAGGGUAAUCAGCAGUGAUAAAUCUUAAAUAUAAGCGACAGCUUGAUUUAGUUAGAGAAAAGAGGGCCGGCUAACCCGGUGCCAGCCGCCGCGGCUACACCGUGGGGCCCGAGCUGAUAGUCACCGGCGUUAAGCGUGAUUAAAGCCCUCAACAAUUAGGGUUAAAUUAAUAUUUAGUAGUGAUAAGCUUGUUAUUAAGAAAACCAUAAACGAAAGUUACCCUAAUUACACUUGAAUCCACGACAACUGGGAAAACAAACUGGGAUUAGAUACCCCACUAG